UACGUAGGGUGCAAGCGUUGUCCGGAAUUAUUGGGCGUAAAGAGCUCGUAGGCGGUUUGGUAAGUUGGAUGUGAAAUCUCCAGGCUCAACUUGGAGGGGUCAUUCAAUACUGCCAUGACUAGAGUUCGGUAGGGGAGUGUGGAAUUCCUGGUGGAGCGGUGAAAUGCGCAGAUAUCAGGAGGAACACCCGUAGCGAAGGCGGCACUCUGGGCCGGAACUGACGCUGAGGAGCGAAAGCGUGGGGAGCGAACAGG
rnacentral:rRNA from 1 species